rnacentral:rRNA from 1 species
CCUACGGGUGGCAGCAGUCGAGAAUCAUUCACAAUGGGGGAAACCCUGAUGGUGCGACGCCGCGUGGGGGAAUGAAGGUCUUCGGAUUGUAAACCCCUGUCAUGUGGGAGCAAAUUAAAAAGAUAGUACCACAAGAGGAAGAGACGGCUAACUCUGUGCCAGCAGCCGCGGUAAUACAGAGGUCUCAAGCGUUGUUCGGAAUCACUGGGCGUAAAGCGUGCGUAGGCUGUUUCGUAAGUCGUGUGUGAAAGGCGCGGGCUCAACCCGCGGACUGCACAUGAUACUGCGAGACUAGAGUAAGGGAGAGGGAACCGGAAUUCUCGGUGUAGCAGUGAAAUGCGUAGAUAUCGGGAGGAACACGCGUGGCGAAGGCGGGUUCCUGGACAUUAACUGACGCUGAGGCACGAAGGCCAGGGGAGCGAAAGGGAUUAGAUACCCCUGUAGUC